UACGAAGGUCCCAAGCGUUAUCCGGAUUUAUUGGGUUUAAAGGGUGCGUAGGCGGGCUAUUAAGUCAGUGGUGAAAUCUCCGAGCCUAACUCGGAAAUUGCCAUUGAUACUGAUGGUCUUGAGUACAUUUGAAGUGGGCGGAAUGUGUCAUGUAGCGGUGAAAUGCUUAGAUAUGACACAGAACACCGAUUGCGUAGGCAGCUUACUAAACUGUAACUGACGCUGAGGCACGAAAGCGUGGGGAGCAAACAGG
rnacentral:rRNA from 1 species